rnacentral:rRNA from 1 species
UACGUAGGGGGCAAGCGUUGUCCGGAUUUAUUGGGCGUAAAGAGCGUGUAGGCGGCCAUGCAGGUCCGUUGUGAAAACUCGGGGCUCAACCCCGAGCCUGCAGUCGAUACGGGCGGGCUAGAGUCCGGCAGGGGAGACUGGAAUUCCUGGUGUAGCGGUGAAAUGCGCAGAUAUCAGGAGGAACACCGGUGGCGAAGGCGGGUCUCUGGGCCGGAACUGACGCUGAGGAGCGAAAGCGUGGGGAGCGAACAGG